rnacentral:rRNA from 1 species
GAUGAACGCUGGCGGCGUGCCUAAUACAUGCAAGUCGAGCGAACGGACGAGAAGCUUGCUUCUCUGAUGUUAGCGGCGGACGGGUGAGUAACACGUGGAUAACCUACCUAUAAGACUGGGAUAACUUCGGGAAACCGGAGCUAAUACCGGAUAAUAUUUUGAACCGCAUGGUUCAAAAGUGAAAGACGGUCUUGCUGUCACUUAUAGAUGGAUCCGCGCUGCAUUAGCUAGUUGGUAAGGUAACGGCUUACCAAGGCAACGAUGCAUAGCCGAACUGAGAGGGUGAUCGGCCACACUGGAACUGAGACACGGUCCAGACUCCUACGGGAGGCAGCAGUAGGGAAUCUUCCGCAAUGGGCGAAAGCCUGACGGAGCAACGCCGCGUGAGUGAUGAAGGUCUUCGGAUCGUAAAACUCUGUUAUUAGGGAAGAACAUAUGUGUAAGUAACUGUGCACAUCUUGACGGUACCUAAUCAGAAAGCCACGGCUAACUACGUG